UACGUAGGGGGCAAGCGUUGUCCGGAAUCAUUGGGCGUAAAGAGCGUGUAGGCGGCCCGAUAAGUCCGCCGUGAAAGUCCAGGGCUACACCUGGAUGCCGGUGGAAACUGUCGGGCUGGAGUCCGGAAGAGGCGAGUGGAAUUCCUGGUGUAGCGGUGAAAUGCGCAGAUAUCAGGAGGAACACCAAUGGCGAAGGCAGCUCGCUGGGACGGUACUGGACGACUGAGACGCGAAAGCGUGGGGAGCAAACAGG
rnacentral:rRNA from 1 species